AUUGAACGCUGGCGGCAGGCCCAACACACGCAAGUCGAACGAGUGGCGGACGGGUGAGCAAUGUCUGGGAAACUGCCUGAUGGAGGGGGAUAACUACUGGAAACGGUAGCUAAUACCGCAUACCAUCAGAUGUGCCCAGAUGGGAUUAGCUUGUUGGUGGGGUAACGUCUCACCAAGGCGACGAUCCCUAGCUGGUCUGAGAGGAUGACCAGCCACACUGGAGCUGAGACGCGGUCCGGACGCCUACGGGAGGCAGCAGUGGGGAAUAUUGCACGAUGGGCACAAGCCUGAUGCGGCCAUGCGGCGUGUAUGAAGAAGGCCUUCGGGUUGUAAAGUACUUUCGGCGGGGAGGCAUUACCCACGGGAGAAGCACCGGCUAGCUCCGUGCCAGCGGCCGCGGUAAUAC
rnacentral:rRNA from 1 species